rnacentral:rRNA from 1 species
GAUGAACGCUGGCGGCGUGCCUAAUACAUGCAAGUCGAGCGAACGGACGAGGAGCUUGCUUCUCUGAUGUUAGCGGCGGACGGGAGAGUAACACGUGGAUCACCUACCUAUCAGACUGGGAUAACUUCGGGAAACCGUAGCUAAUACCGGAUAAUAUUUUGCACCGCAUGGUUCAAUAGUGAAAGACGGUCUUGCUGUCACUUCUAGAUGGAUCCGCGCUGCAUUGGCUAGUUGGUAAGGUAACAGCUUUCCAAGGCAACGAGGCAUAGCCGACGUGAGAGAGGGGUAGCCCACAUUGGAGCGUGGCCACGGACCAUGGUCCUACGGGAGGCAGCAGUGUGGUAUCGGACGCAAUGGUCGAAAGCCUUACAGAGCAACGGCGAGUGAGUGAUGAAGGUCUUCGGAGCGGAAUACUCUGUUAUUAGGUAAGAACAUAUGUGUAAUGAACUGUGGACUUCGUGACGGUACCGAAUCAGAAAGCCACGGCUAACUACGUG